GACGAACGCUGGCGGCGUGCUUAACACAUGCAAGUCGAGCGGAGCGGCGAAAGGGUGAGUAACGCGUGAGUAACUGCCCCCCUCUCUGGGAUAACAGUUGGAAACGGCUGCCAAUACCGGCAAGUGGGGGAUGCCUCGCGGCCUACCAGCUGGUUGGUGGGGUAGUGGCGUACCAAGGCGACGACGGGUACCCGGCCUGAGAGGGGGCCCGGCCACAUGGGGCUGAGAUACGGCCCAAACUCCUACGGGAGGCAGUGGUGGGGAGUAUGACACAAUGGGGGAAACCCUGAUGCGGCAACGCCGGGUGCGGGAUGACGGCCUUCUGGUUGUAAACCGCUUUCAGCCAUGACGCGGUAGUGGCAGAAGAAGCACCGGCUAACUACGUGCCAGCCGCCGCGGUAAUAC
rnacentral:rRNA from 1 species